GGAAGGUGCUCUCUCAGCAGAACGGAAAAUAUCUCAAUGACUUGACAUGUUCUGGUUGUGAAUUCAGGCUACAAGGGGUCAGUGCUCUAAAAUGAGUCUCUCUGGGGAGAGAGAGGAGGGACCUGCCUCUAAAAUGAGUCUCUCUGGGGGACAUGACACCAAAGCUAAGAGACCAAUCAAGCAGGAGAGACCAGCCUCCCCUGUACCCAGCUGUGUGUCCAUGAAGAGUGACAAGUCUAUGAUUCUACCUAUAAACUUUAGAGAGGGAGACUUUUCUACUGAACAAAGGUAAGAAGAACUCAUGGGUCAUGGUCAGUGAGUUAAACAACACUGUCUCUAGUCAUUUC